GUGGGGGCCCUCGCGGCGGCAGCGGGGGCGGUGGCCCCAGCGGGAAAUCCGGAAAGGCGGCGGGGUUGGCACCGGCCACCAGGAUUCCAUCCAGGACACCACAUUUAAUUGUUAUGAUGUCUUGGGCUCCUCUUGGCUGUGAGAGUUUCUGAGAUUUUCCUUGUAUUUGAUGACCUUGACAGUCCUUGGGAAUACUGUUCCUCUCUGUCCUGCCACCAUGUGGAGAAAGAUGUGUUUGCUUCCCCUUCUACCAUGAUUGUAAGUUUCCUGCAGCCUCGCCAGC